rnacentral:rRNA from 1 species
UACAGAGGGGGCAAGCGUUAUUCGGAAUUAUUGGGCGUAAAGGGCGCGUAGGCGGCCUGGCAAGUGGAUGGUGAAAUCCCUCGGCUUAACCGAGGAACUGCCAUCCAGACUGCUUGGCUUGAGACCGGGAGAGGUGAGUGGAAUUCCCAGUGUAGCGGUGAAAUGCGUAGAUAUUGGGAGGAACACCAGUGGCAAAGGCGGCUCACUGGACCGGUACUGACGCUGAUGCGCGAAAGCGUGGGGAGCAAACGGG